UACGUAGGGUGCGAGCGUUAAUCGGAAUUACUGGGCGUAAAGCGUGCGCAGGCGGCGCGUUAAGACAGGUGUGAAAGCCCCCGAGCUUAACUUGGGAAUUGCGCUUGUGACUGGCGUGCUGGAGUGUGGCAGAGGGAGGUGGAAUUCCACGUGUAGCAGUGAAAUGCGUAGAGAUGUGGAGGAACACCGAUGGCGAAGGCAGCCUCCGUGGGCCAGCACUGACGCUCAUGCACGAAAGCGUGGGGAGCAAACAGG
rnacentral:rRNA from 1 species